rnacentral:rRNA from 1 species
CAGUAGCCGCGGUAAUACGUAGGUCCCGAGCGUUGUCCGGAUUUAUUGGGCGUAAAGCGAGCGCAGGCGGUUAGAUAAGUCUGAAGUUAAAGGCUGUGGCUUAACCAUAGUACGCUUUGGAAACCGUUUAACUUGAGUGCAAGAGGGGAGAGUGGAAUUCCAUGUGUAGCGGUGAAAUGCGUAGAUAUAUGGAGGAACACCGGUGGCGAAAGCGGCUCUCUGGCUUGUAACUGACGCUGAGGCUCGAAAGCGUGGGGAGCAAACAGGAUUAGAUACCCCUGUAGUCCCUGUCUCUUAUACA